rnacentral:rRNA from 1 species
CCUACGAUGCGCGUCAGCGGUCUUAGAGUGGCCUGAUUAUCGAUUGCCGCUGGUGGCUGGACAGACGUAUGCAAGUCGAACGGGAACAGGAAGCAGCUUGCUGCUUUGCUGAAGAGUGGCGGACGGGUGAGUAAUGUCUGGGAAACUGCCCGAUGGAGGGGGAUAACUACUGGAAACGGUAGCUAAUACCGCAUAAUGUCGCAAGACCAAAGAGGGGGACCUUCCGGCCUCUUGCCAUCGGAUGUGCCCAGAUGGGAUUAGCUUGUUGGUGAGGUAACGGCUCACCAAGGCGACCAUCCCUAGCUGGCCUGAGAGGAUGACCAUCCACACUGGAACUGAGACACGGUCCAGACUCCUACGGGAGGCAGCAGUGGGGAAUAUUGCACAAUGGGCGCAAGCCUGAUGCAGCCAUGCCGCGUGUAUGAAGAAGGCCUUCGGGUUGUAAAGUACUUUCGCCGGGGAGGAAGGGGAUGUGGCUAAUAACCGCAUUCAUUGACGUUACCCGCCAAAGAAGCACCGGCUAACUCCUUGCCAACGCCCCCGGUAAUACCGAGGGUGCAAGCGUUAAUCGAAAUUACUGGGCGGAAAUCCCACGCACGCCGUCUGUCAAGUCGGAUGCGAAAUCUCCGGCCUCAACCUGGGAACUGCAUUCAAAUCUGGCAGGGUUGAGUCUCGUACAGGGGGGUAGAUUUCCCGGUGUAGCGGCGGAAUGCAUACAGAUCUGGAGGAAUAUCGGUGGCGAAUCGGCCCCCUGGACGAAGACUGAGGCUCUGCUCGAAAGCGUGGGGAGCAAACUCGAUUAGAUACGCUGGUAGUCCACGACGGGACGAUGUCUAUUUGGAGGUUGUGCCCUUGAUGCGUGGCUUCCGGAGCUAACGCUGUUAAAUCUACCGCCUCUACAAUACUGACGCAUGCCUAAUAUCUCAAUAUGAAUUCCACGGGUGACCCCCACGAGAUGUCGCAUCAUGAUGUUGUCAGAUCGACGGGACGGCGCUGUACUUCACCUGGUCUUGACUUACCGCUUAACUUCGUCGAAAUACUUCGCUGACUGCGACGAAUGUGAGCCAGGCUCUGUCAUGCUGUCAGCACAUCGGAGUGCGGUAAUGACGACAUACGCCCUCUCGCUUACCCGAGGCUGCAAGCCCCAAUCCCAUCCCUGAACGGGU